CAUGUAUAAAAUUUAAAUUGAUAACUUUCUAUUUAAAGACUUAAAAGUAAUCAAAAAUAUAGUUUUCAAUAUCUUAUAAACUUGGCUCUAAUUUUAGAUAUAACAAAAACUAUGGAAUACACAUGGCUUUUAUUGAAAUAAGCAAGGUAAAGAACAUAUUGUAUAUAUCAAAAAGUUUAUAUAUUAUAUUAAUCUUUAUGACAUUAUAAUAUUAAAAAAUGUCUUGAAAUGUCCUGCUAACACCAGUGUCAGAGAUUGAUACAGGGGCGUGAGCCUGCAUCAACUUAGUAAAUUAAGUUUGGUUAACUUGGUGCCAGCAUCCGCGGUUAGACCAAGAAACUAAGUUAUAUUUUUUAGUCAAAAGAUAGUUAGAUAAACAAUAAGUCUUAAGAUUAUUUAUAAAGAGGUAAAAUUCAAUUAUAAAUUUUAAUUUUUUUAAAGACUAAUGACAUUGAAUCUAUGAUAUCUUAGAAAUAAACUGGGAUUUGAUACCCCAUUAUUCUUAGACGUAAACUAGAAUUUUAUUUUACUAGAGUACUACGAACAUAAUGUUUAAAACUCAAAGAGCUUGGCGGUGCUUUAGACCUCUCAGGGGAACCUGUCUCGUAAUCGACAAUCCACGAUAUACCUAACCUUUUUUUGUUUUCAGCCUGUAUACCGUUGUCGUCAGUUAGCUUCUCAAAAAAUUAAAGCUAGCUAGAUAAGUUAAUUAGUUUAAACGUCAAAUCAAGGUGCAGCCAAUAAAAAGGUGAAGAUGGGUUACAAUUAUAAAUUUAUAAUUAUGAAUAGUUAAAGGAAAAUUUAAAAUGAAGGAGGACUUGAAAGUAAAAUUUUAAUAUAUAAAUUAUUUGAAUAAGGUUCUGAAGCGUGCACACAUCGCCCGUCGCUCUCGUUGAAAGAUGAGAUAAGUCGUAACAUAGUAGAGGUAAUGGAAAUUGUCUCUGAAUU
rnacentral:ncRNA from 1 species